rnacentral:lncRNA from 10 species
GCCCCUUCAACCAGAUCACUUCCGCUGAAAGUUUGCAUCUCCCAGUAUCAGUGUUGGGGAAGCCAAAUGAAAUCUAUCAAUCCCAGUUCAGAAUGUAAAGAAACUGAAGAUCCUCUUUCCCCAUAUGGAUUAUUAUAUCAUCAUAGCAUUUGGAGAAGCCAAGAUCAACAAAAAAGCAGUUAGCAGUGAGAGAAGCUGCAGCCUGUUGAGACUCCACAAGACUGAAGAUAUGAAAAGAGGAAAUAUGCAUGAAUGCCCGCACGGAGAACCACCCCCACCUGCUGCUCCCGCUCUAAUGAUCACGCCCAUUAUCAACUGGGGGAUGGCUCUGUGCCUUGUCCUUGCAUUACAUGGACCAAGAACACUUCACAGGACUCAGAGAGGAACCCGAAAGGAAGAAGCUAUACGACUGGGGACACAUGUCUUAGAAGCACACUCAUUAGAUAAAGUGUCGCAUACUCUUUGAUAAGAGGUUGCUGAAGUCAAAAGCAGCUCACUCCCAGUUCACUGAGCUUGAGUUCCGGCUGCAACUUGGCCUUGAGAUUUUUGAAACGUUGAUAUGGAAGAUAAAGAAAAACGCAGAUUCCUGUCUUCUAAGGAACAAAGGCUGGAAGACAGUUCUGCAGAUUCUGCCUUUGAGGGAUUAGAGGGAUGUGCCCAGGACCAGAUCUUCAGUUAUGCAAAUAUACCUUAGAGACCACAGUAAGAAAGACAUCGCUCUGAAAUGCUCUGGUCCCAAGGAAAAUAUUGCUCUAUAUAAUAAUGGAAAACGUUGUCUGUGUAUCAUGCUGAGCUGCAUUUUAUUUUGUACCCUUGAGAGAGCUUUUAUUUUCUUAUAAAUAAGGAUUGGUCUUGUUCUGGGUCUGAAAACUGUUGUGUAUUUUUGAGAUGUCUAUUUUUCUUUUCAGUUGCCUGUAAGAGAUUGGGAGCCGAGGGCCUGAGGGUGAAGCCUCGUUUGUGCAGGUGACUGUGGGACUCUGGUGUAAGUAACGCUGGGCCCACCCUGGUAAUGAAGGAAGACCCAGGCCCAGGCAGGGGCGGUGUCACAGGCACAGGGGCUCGCACCCUGGGCACUGACGGUGGCUGUCGCACCAGGGCCGCUCCUUGCAGAAACCUCACUGAGCCUGUGCCUGUUGAGUAGCUUCAUGAGGAGCGGAUAUCAGGCAGAGAAAGCCCGGGCAAGAGAGUGACACACGGGGCUUCUGCCCAGAACACGUGCGCCCACAAUCCCGGGAGCUGUACAAAUCCCAAGCGGGGAAGCGGAGGCCUCGACAGUUCAUGAUGCGGACAUGAAUGGGAAUGCGGCCGCUUGCCACACCUCCUUCUUCAUUUGGGGAAAUGCUUGAAGGUUUGUUUUGUGAAUGCUAGGUUAAGGUUUGGAAGUUUAUUUUAAAAAUUGACAUCAUGGCCGGGCGCGGUGGCUCACGCCUGUGAUCCCAGCACUUUGGGAGGCCGAGGCGGGCGGAUCACGAGGUCAGGAGAUCGAGA